AGUCUUAUAGUAUAAUAGUUAGUACACUAUCUUAUCUUAAAACUAAGAGCUUAGGUUCGAUUCUUAAUAAGACUU